rnacentral:ncRNA from 1 species
UUUAUCAAAUUAUAAGGCUUUUGUUACACUUUUUAAUUGGGUUGCUAGGACCCGAAAGAUGGUAAACUAUGUCUGAAUAGGGUGAAGUCGAGGAAACUCUGAUGGAGGCUCGUAGCGGUUCUGACGUGCAAAUCGAUCGUCAAAUUUGGGUAUAGGGGCGAAAGACUAAUCGAACCAUCUAGUAGCUGGUUCCUGCCGAAGUUUCCCUCAGGAUAGCAGAAACUCGUUAACGAAAUUGGUAAAAUUGUAGAAACGCAAGAAGAGCUGAAGAAGAGAAUGAGUUUUAAGCAAUAAUUAGCAGAAUUAGGAAUUAGAAAUCAACACAUACCUAAUCAUAU